rnacentral:misc_RNA from 1 species
UUUUGAAGCUUCAUCGUAGUUGUUACUGUACGGUGGUGUUCAUCCUGUAUUUUUAUUCACGUCCUUCAUAUAUUUUUAACCGUUUAUGAAUAAUUUAUUGUGCAAAGAAUGUGGUUGAACAAUUUACUGGUACUGAAAUUUUGUGAAACGUCUGUCUUUUGCUGUGGUUAUUGUUAAUUGAACUUUUGUGGACUGAGUUUACGUCGAAGAGUUGACCUAGGCUAGGUUUGUUCCAAGAUGGAGGAGUCUGAUAGUAUUUCCAGGAAUAAAUUUUUACCUAACGGAAAAUCGGUAGAAGCAAGCGAUGUCGAUGAAGAUAUUAACAAAGAAUGUCCAUCGACGCUGGAUGUUAGAAUAUGCCUUGUCGGAACUUUGGCUAGUGAUGAACUAGUAUUAAAGGCUGCUCAAAAGUUCGAAGUGCCUGUGGUGACAUCGGUGGAUGCCUCGGAAUGGGAACUCAGCACGCCGCUCACCACCAUUUUUGUGCUCGAGGAAUUUUCCGGACCCAUUUUCGAAAAACUGCACUCGAUGGGACACAGGAUCCUCGGGCCAACCGCCUUAAGGGAGCUGGCUGAGAAGGGCCAGCCUCUGCCCAACAACAUGCGGCCCUUGUACACCCUCUCCAUGAAGGGCACUGUCCUAUGCUUUACCGGCUUCAGAAAAAAGGAGGAAGUGGCGCGACUAGUGACGCUGACCCACCACAUGGGCGGCUCGGUGCGGAAGGAGAUGUCGGCAACAACGCACCUUGUGGCGAACAAGUGCGGUGGCGAGCGCUACCAGUACGCCAUGACGUUUCGAGUGCCCGUCAUGGCCGCCUCCUGGAUCCACAACGCGUGGGCCAUGCGGCCGCAGGUUGGCUUCUCCGCUGUCGAGCCUAAAGUUAUUAGCGAAAACAAGUUGAAAAUCUUCCAAGGUGCGCGGGUCUGUUUCCUGGGAUUUUCUGAGGAUGAGCACAGGCAUGUGGUCAAUGUCCUGUUGGAGAACGGAGGUGUACUCACCGACCAAGAAGACCCGCAGUGUACUCAUUUGGUGUGCGAUGAUCGAGCAGUAUUGUCACGUGACCAAGUUCUCUCCCCCAAAAGUCCUUCCAACUCCAAUCCAGCUGGCAACCACCAAUCGGCGUCUGUAGCGGGGGGUAUGAGGAGGCGAAGUAUGGCGGUUGAUGAGACGGGGGUGGGGGUUAGGAAUUUGGAGAAGACCUAUUUGAAACCAGUCGAGGAAGGGGUGAGCUACUCAACGUAUUUGAAACCUAAGGAUGAAGGUGCGGGUAACUCCAAGACGUACUUGAAGCCCAAACUUGAAGAGUAUGGCUGUGGAAGCAGCAAUUCUAAGACAUACUUGAAACCAAAGGAUGAUAGAAAUGGGUAUGGAACGUAUUUGAAGUACAAAGAGGGGGAUUGUGAGGCUGGGGGUAAUUUGAAGACUUAUUUGAAGCCUAAAGAUGAGGAGAAUCUGUAUGGGGGUAAUUCAAAGAUAUAUUUGAAACCAAAAGAUGAGGAAAACUGUUAUGGUGGUAGUUCAAAGAGUGAAGAUUGUGGCUCGGUUUUGAAUUCUUCAAAGACAUAUCUGAAGCCCAAGGAUGAGGAUAUUGAUGACAGUGAUUGGCCUGCCUCACCUUUGAUCAGGAGAAGCAGCAAUGUCAAGUUCUCAACUCCCCUCAAUCAUGUUAAUUCUGUUGCUUCACCGUCUGUGUUACAAAACAAAAGUGGCUUGGAGGAUAGUGUUGUGUCUCAGGCUGACAAAACCCUGUGCCAAGACGAUGACGAUGAUGACUCAAUGUUGUACAGUAUUAGACGCACAACAACUGUUGUCGAGGAGAAGAUGUUGUGCAAGAAGGGCAAAGGGAGGCCGAAUGUUGUUGACAGAGAGCGUAACGAUAGUUUCUUGAGGGAAGAGUUUGAUUACUUGACGUCAAUUUGUCCCUACCCCAAAGAGUUGUUAGAAAAGAGGUCGCGUCUGAGUAUCUGCCUACCAGGCGAACUAAGUUUGCCUCUGGACUCGCGCGAUCUCCGCUCGCGUGAGAUGACGAUCCAGGAAGAAUCCGCGUCCCCGUUGCCGAGGAAACGGCGUAAAACGCUGUCGCCGAAAAAGACGCCCAAAAAGAAUGCCGCGGCCGCGGAACCGUCGGGUGGUUUUAAAACGCCGGUUCUGUCGUCGAUUAGGAGGUCGCUGCGGUUGAAAUCUGUGAACCAGCUGGCUAGAUGGUUUUCCAACGCUGAUAUUCCGACGACUGGUGGUUGCAAUCCUGUGGCUAGUACCCUACCUCCUAUGGCUCCUGGUGGCUCAUCGACCCCCAACGCACGUGCUCUGAAGAUGGACGAUGGUGCUAUGCCUAUGAUGUACACUGAACGGCGCAUGCUUUCGGUAGUGGACGAAUCGUCUGUGUCCUCUACGCCUAGCCAGGUGCCAGCCUCGGCUUUUGUGGUGAAAGCCGAGUGGUUUUGGGCCUCGGUGCAGAAUGAGGGCUGUGUUGACGAGAAGGAUCACCUUUUCGAAGAUUACCUGGAAAGCCUAGUGAGCCCGAGCCGCCGCACCCCUACCAGCCUGGGCGCACCCCCUUCAGCGGCCACCCCGGUGUCGGUGGGUGGUGGUGGUGCACGCACGCGCAAGCGCAAACGUCACCUGCAGGAGGUGAUGUCGCGUAUGGUGCACCACCCCUCCCCCGCCACCCAGGGCAAGCGACGCUCGUCCAUCAGCGACGCCGGGCUCAGUUGUACGCCCAGUCCCACGCAGCCGCUCUCUGAUGAAACGGAAUCGCUGAGCAGUGACCUGCAGCGCCUGAAACACCUGAGUCCCCGUCACCAGGUGUUCCUAGAGCUGGUGCAAACAGAGUCCAACUACGUGGGUAUCCUGUCCACAAUCGAGACCCUGUUCAAGGAGCAGUUGGAGAAGAUGGUUGGCACUAGUGACGAGCUGCUCAACCCAACCGAGUUGAAGAUCAUCUUCGGCCACCUGACACCUAUCUACCUCACGCAUCGACGCAUGUUGGACCAACUGAGGCAUGCGGCCGCCCAUUGGCAGGAGGAUGUCUCCAUCGGAAAUAUAUUCCUCAAGUUUGCACCCGAUCUGUUGAAAACCUAUCCACCGUUCGUGAACUUCUUUGAGAACACGCGAGAGAUGCUGCUAAAGUGUGACGCACAGCGACAGAGGUUCCACGCGUUCCUCAAGGUGUGUCAGAUGAAGCCAGAGUGUGGACGCCAGAGUCUGCAGGAGUUGCUUAUCAGGCCCAUACAGCGGCUCGCCAGUGUUAUGCUCUUGCUCAACGAUAUCCUGAAGCACACACCGAAGGGUAACCUGGACCACGUGGCGCUGGAGUCGGCGCUGAACAUGAUCAGGGAGGUGAUGACGCACAUCAACGAGGACAAGCGACGCACCGAGUGCCAGCUGGCCAUGUUCGACAUAUUCAACGACAUCGACAACUGUCCGCCGCACCUGGUCAGCUCGCAUCGCAGCUUCAUUGCGCGCUGCGACGUCAACGAGUUGAGUGACAGCCUGAGUGGCCGCGGCGACUCACUCGCCUUCUUCCUGUUCAGCGAUAUUUUAGAGAUUUGUAAAAAGCGUUCGAAAGCUUUCUCGAAUUCACUGAAAAGUCCUAACACAGCCGGUGGUACUGCCAAACUGGCAGGCUGUAAAUCCUACAAACACAUCAGACUCAUGCCUCUCUCCACAAUCAAACGAGUUUUCGACGUCAAAGAAACUGAAGAGUGUCACAAGAUGUUUGCGCUGAUGUGCAAAGCGAACCAGGACCUGAAGGAGAAGAUCUACUCGUUUGUGAUCACCAGUGAGGAAACUGACAAGAUGGUCUUCCUCAAGCAGCUCUGUCGACAGAUGGCCAACACCGUGUGUCGCGCUGAUGCCGAAAACUUUCUGGCUUCGUUAGAUCCAGAACAGUUGGACAUUGACACGAGUGAAGUUGGCCUCGGAACGUUAGGAAAAGCUUUCAAAUUUGCUUCGCGGACGAGAAUGCGGGUGGGGCGUGCGUUCAGCUUCAACAAGACGCCGAGCAAACUGAAGCGAGCAGUGUCGUCAGUGAUGUCACCGUUCGGCAGCUCUAGCAACCUCACGCCCGCCUCGCAGCUCGCUCAAAUGCGGUUGGCCUCCUGCAAUAACCUCAAUGCCCAGAACAAAGCAACUGGGCCGUUGGCAGAAGUCGAUGUCGAAAUGGACACGUGACUAGAACAGGAAGCGGCUGAUCGGCCUCAGGAGCUGGGAAGCCAACAGCAGGGAUCAGGCCUUCCCCCUCCCCAGUACCCGGUGCCCAUGUCAGUGCAGCCGCAGCGUCGAGCCAAGCAGUCGGCCACUCUCAGUGUCGCAUCACUGCGUCGCUUAUGACGUCAGCUCACCACGCCUGCCAUCCUUGGGUUCUAAGAUCGCCGUUCCAUCCAAAUAUCAAUCAUGUAACAACUGGGUGUGUGUGUGAGUGAGUGUUGUCAGGUCGUAUAUGUGUACAUUGGACGAUAUAUGCUCACAAGAAUUAUUUCUACCGGUUGUUUAUUUGUAAAUAAUGCGUGAAACUUGUUUAUUUUCACUUGUAUGAAAUGUAUAUUAUAAAAUUAUUCUAGUAUUUAUCGGACAGAUACUAUUCAUUACUUUAGGUGUAAAUACAUUGUGAAAUACAUUACUGGAAUGAAUCACUAAAUGUGAACAUGACUUAAUUGAAGAAAAAUUGAACCAAGUUCUUUCAGUUUUAAUGAGAGUUUAAUAAAAUAUUAGUCAUUUCAGUCUCAAGAUAUGGCUCGAAUGAUGGAAAUUGAAUCGAUCUUAGUUAUCGACAAGGUAACCUUAGCUGGAACUAAGUUGUAGUUAUCUGCUAGAUUAACUAAAUCCAAGACGUGAACUAAUUUAUCUUAGUUAUCUUCAAGGUAAACGAAACCCAAUGGUUUGGCUUGAAUAAUUUAUUACAUUGAAUAAAAAUGAAACUGAAUUGUUCUAGUUAUCUGCAAGGUUAACUAAACUCAAGACUUGCCUUGUAUGAUGAAAAUUGAGCUUUAGAUAGACUGAGCUAUCCUGGACCUAGUUCAAUACAGUCAAUAGUUUUCAAUCAGUUCAAAAUUUUGUUGAAAAAUAAACUAAUUUGAUCAGUUGAGAAUUGAAUAAUAAUAAAUUAAAAAUACAGUAAUACAAGAAAAAUGUCUUUUUAUUUUCUCGUUCAGAUACAAUUAUUACCUUUGUGUUGGAUUAUAUAUAAAUGUAUGUUAUUGAAAAAUACGGGCGAAUUCAAGAUGAAAAACAUCUUGAAAAAUAUGAGUAACCAUGAAAAUUAUUAUUAUAAUUAAGUACUAUAGAAUUAUUCAAUGGAUAUGAUAACUAUGUCCUGGAAUUAUUUGUACUACAGAAUUUAUCCACAAUCCUGUAUUUGAUAAAAAAUUGUUCAAACCACAGUUAUUGCUAUUUUUCUAUUUCGAUAGAAAUUGUUGAGUAAAUUCCCAAUAAAAUUUGUCAUAACAGUAAAAUCAUGGUUAUCAAUAGUUUUACAGUAAUGUAACAUUUUCAAAAAUCAGGCGUAUUGAUUUUUUUUUUCAUUUUAAAGUAGUUUUGGUUUUUAAUGUAUUACGGUGUGGUUGAAUGUUUUGGGAUAAUUCAUUAAAUUUAUAAUUUUGAGUCUGAAAAAAUAUUGGGAGUAUGAUAAUUUAUCAAAAAUAUAUUUCAUGCUAUAAUUUAGUUCUUCGGUCAAUAUAUGCAGUAGCAGAGGUCCUUAGUUCUAUUUAUAAAGCUUUCAUUGGAUGUUUGAAAUAAUUAUUAAAUACAGUAAAAAUAUAUUUAUUUUCUAUUCUACUUGUCUUGAACAGUGUUCACAUUUUACAGUAUUAUAUUAGAGAUUGUUCUAGUUCUAUGGGGUAUAUUUUUGUUUUGCUGAAUUUAAAAUAUGUAUUUUAUUUAUAUCAAUUUAUAGUAACUGUAAUAGAAAUCUACAACAAUCCAAUAUAUUUUAUUUAUAAUUGUUUCCGUAUUGUCAAAGUAUUUCAAUUUUAAUUUGUAUUAUUUAUUCUCAGGUCUGUUACAUAUAGUGAAUCAUUUAUUUGUAUUUCCUCAGUUAACUAACCAGCGUUUCUCUCACCCUUGUAAAUAAGUUAUUAAUUUAUCUAAAGCAAAAUUAUAUAAAUAUAUUAUAUUCACUCAUUACUAUGUAAUAGAAUUAUAAAUAUAUAGUGUUUUGAGGAACUUUUCCAUCCUAUAUAAACUGCAGGAUGGUAUUAUUAGAUUAUUGAAAUCGUUUUAAAUUUGUAUGAUACAAUUAUUGUAGAAUUUUGGGUCGAUUUUGAAGACCAGAUAUUUAAAUUUACGGCCUAAUUAUUCGCAAAUUAGCACAAAAGCACUGGUGCUGUAAUAUUAAUUAAUAUAAGCAUGUUUUAUAUGCUUUUUGCUUGAUUUUAUAAUAAAUAUUGUUCGAAAUUGCUUCUUCUAUUUAUGACGUAUUUUUGUCGUUAGCUUAAUAUUGUGUAAAUUGCUCUUACACAUUAGUAAUACUAUUUCAUGCCUUAUAUUUGAGAAAUAUAAAAUAAUUGAACUGACAAUUAUUGUUAGCUAUGUAAUAUCUUAGAAUAGCCUUACGUAGAAUAUCAUAAAAUAUCAUUGAAAUCGUAUUACAUGAAAGACUGCGCUCAAAUUUUGGUUCGAUUUUUUUGUUUCAAAUCUUAUCAUUUUUAAGUAAUGCUCAAAUACAGUAAUUAUUAUUGUUAGGUAAUGAAUACAUCUUGAAAAUAAAAGUCCUAAAAGUAUCAUUUUCAUGAGAAUUGAUUUUAAUUUUCAAAUAUGUAAACAUUUUUCUACUAAACGCUCAAGAAUGCUUUUAAUUCAUCAAUAAGUAACAAAAGUAACGCCAAUCUAAACAGUUGAAAAUAUAUAAAUUAUUGGAAUAGGAAAAAUUGAACCAAAAUACAAUAACUAGACCUUAAUGUACUAUUCAAAUCUUAAACUUUUUCUUCUUAAAAAUUAUGUAACUUUUUAAUUUGUAAACGUCUCUUCCAUCUUCGUUUAACCUAUCCUUCCCUGUUGUGUCUGAGGAUCUUGACUUCUAUUUAUUCUCGCACUUUCAUUAUUUCUUGUUACAAUUCCCGGUUGCAAAAAAACCUGUUAAAUUUUAAUCAAGAUCAAUUUCACAAGAACCAAUCGAAGAAGCUUUUUAGAAAAAAGUAUUUUCUAAUCACUAUUAAAAUUUAACCGGCUUUUCUGCAACCGACAAGUUAAGUAUUGAAAAGCUACCUCUAUUCUCUUCCCAUCACAAUUUUUAUCACUUUGUCAACUAACAUUUAUUUUGUUGUAAUCUCUUUUUUAUUCAUUUAUAUGAUUACCCAGUGAAAUUUAUUUGAAAAAUAUUUACCUACAUUUCGAUCAAUUUUCUAAUCAACUCUUCCUUCAAUCUGCUAAUAUUAUGUAAUUGUAUAAUAAAUAGUGAACAUGC